CCUACGGGGCGCAGCAGUGGGGAAUAUUGGACAAUGGGCGAAAGCCUGAUCCAGCCAUGCCGCGUGUGUGAAGAAGGCCUUCGGGUUGUAAAGCACUUUCAGUGGGGAAGAAAGCCUUGGGGCUAAUACCCUCGAGGAAGGACAUCACCCACAGAAGAAGCACCGGCUAACUCCGUGCCAGCAGCCGCGGUAAUACGGAGGGUGCGAGCGUUAAUCGGAAUUACUGGGCGUAAAGCGCGCGUAGGCGGUCUGAUAAGCCGGUUGUGAAAGCCCCGGGCUCAACCUGGGAACGGCAUCCGGAACUGUCAGGCUAGAGUGCAGGAGAGGAAGGGAGAAUUCCCGGUGUAGCGGUGAAAUGCGUAGAGAUCGGGAGGAAUACCAGUGGCGAAGGCGGCCUUCUGGACUGACACUGACGCUGAGGUGCGAAAGCGUGGGUAGCAAACAGGAUUAGAUACCCCGGUAGUC
rnacentral:rRNA from 1 species